UUAGCCCUGACUUUGUCAGAGCUUUGUUACUGAGGAUGUAUAUGCAGGACAUAUUGUUAAUUAGGAAUUCUUCGUUUAUGAUUUCAUA
rnacentral:snoRNA from 1 species